GAUUCAGCACCCAGAUAAGCGUACUGGAGCAGAAUGUGUUCAUUUUCAAAACAGCAAUUAGGCCGGCUCCUGUUCAGCAGCUCUGCUGCUUUCACAUUGGUGUGGGAGAUAAUAAACAACUAGAGCGCCUGCUGAGGUAGCUGCUGGCUGCAAGAUCUCAAGAUAGACCAGAAAAUGUCCCAUGAUCACCCUGCAUAAAAUCAUGCAGUGCCUCAAUGUUGGGCAGGAAUGUGACCUUAGUCUGGUUAGCCUGCCAGCAACAGCACAACACCCAUGACCAGGAAGCCUGGUGUCUGUAGCCCCAGGGGAGAGCAUCGCAGCUGGGAAGGAGUGCUGAGCAAACAGCCUGUUCUCUGGUAAGACAGAGAGCUGCAGUGUAACUGAAGACAUGGAGGAGGACAACCAGGAGAAAGCCAAGGACCAACUCAAUAAUCAACUCGGAAAAAUCCACAACAAAUAGCAUCUGAUAUGAUAAGCUAUGAAGCAUAUUAGGUUUUACAGAAGUUUGGCAAAUUCAUGCCAUUAUAAAAGCAAGGGUAACAUCAUGGCAGAAUCUUAUCAACACGUCCAAGGCACAAUGAAUGCAUGUUUUACAAAACACAACCUGAUACUUGUUCUCAGCAGUACCUCAGUUGUCCAGAGUGGUUAGCUCUACUGGGAUAAUUUCCAGAACCAUUAACACCCAGCGGGAUUGGCUCCAGCCCCCCCCUAUCCUGUACGCAGGAUAAGCGGUUGAUGAUGGAUGGAUGGAUGGAUGGAUGG